rnacentral:rRNA from 1 species
GAGUUUGAUCUUGGCUCAGAACGAACGCUGGCGGCAGGCCUCAAACAUGCAAGUCUAGGGGGUGUAGCAAUACAUCACCGGCGGACGGGUGCGUAACACGUGGGAAUGUACCUAUUGGUUCGGAACAACGCAGGGAAACUUGCGCUAAUACCGGAUGAGCCCUUCGGGGGAAAGAUUUAUCGCCAAUGGAUCAGCCCGCGUCCGAUUAGCUAGUUGGUGGGGUAACGGCCACCAAGGCGACGAUCGGUAGCUGUUCUGAGAGGAAGAUCAGCCACACUGGGACUGAGACACGGCCCAGACUCCUACGGGAGGCAGCAGUUGGGAAUCUUGGACAAUGGGGGAAACCCUGAUCCAGCCAUGCC